CCUGCCUCCCGGCCCACCAGUCGGGGCCUCCCUCCUGGAGCUCCAGGGUCUCGCCGCAUGGUGGAGCCGCCGCGCCUGGCUCACGGUCCCGCGCGCGCUCCUGGGCCCGCACGCCUGAGUCACCUUUGUCUCCCGCUGGGAUCAAGGAUGGAGUCUGUGGCCCCUAUCCCACUGGGCACUCCUUAGUUUCCUCGCCCUCUCUUAAAAAUCCGAGGAACUAAGGUGAGGAAGGAGGUGCGAGCGCCCCUUUAUUUUUAUUUUUCGUGCCACUGAGGAUCGAACCCAGGGUCUUCCCACAGAGCCACGUCCUCAGCCCGCUAAAGAAUUUUAAAUUUUGAGACUGGGUCCGCCCCGUGGCCCACACUGAGCUCGAACUUUCGAUCCUCCCGCCUCAGCUUCCGAGGGAGCUAGGAUUGCAGGCGUGUGCCACCGCGCAGGGCUGAGCCCCCAGGCCCCCUCAGUCAGACUCUUGGAGUCCGCCGUCCUGGCCCCAUCUAGGGCUCAGUUCUUUGAUCCUUUGAAGGAUGUCUUGACUUUCUUGGAAAAAACAGUCUGCAUCGAAAGGCAGAGGCUCAAUUCGGUGCUCAUAGACAAAGAGGGUCAAGACGGAAACGAAUCAAACAGUAUUGGGAAAAGGCAACCGCCUCUGAAGUCUCGCAGGGUGAGAAACUGACUCGAUCGUCGUUAUCGUUAAAUCCUAGGAAACAGUUGGCAGCUCUCAAGUCAGAUGACGUCUGAUGACCUUACCCAUAUCCCGUGAGGCCAUGCACUUGGCCAGUUCUGAGAUAGAGUCCUGCUAAGUUGCACUUGCUGAGCUGGAACUUGUUAGCCUCCUGCCUCAGCCUCCCAGAGUGCUAGGAAUAUGGGUAUUCGCCAGCAGGCCUGGCCCCAGUUCUCAUUACAAGCUUGCAUAUUUGCAUAAACGAAGAUUCCCUUUGCAAGUUCAGUGCCUUAAAAUUAAAAAAAAUUUUUUUUUUGAGGAUUAGGUUCUAAUCGGAUACAAGAAACCUGGAAAAACCGUUUAGUGAAAAUGGCACAUAGCCUGUCCUUCAGUUACAAAUCCCAUUUUUUCUGGUGGCGGGGAUGGUGGGCCGUGUGUGUUGAGAGAGGAGAGUGCAAGUUCGUGCAGCUGGGACUUCUCCCUUAUAUCCAGACCAUGUCUUGAAAUCGGAAAAGGCCACAGCUACAGAAAUACAUCGGCCUUCAUGAGACCAGUGGUUUUUCAGUGCAGUCACUGUGACUCAGUCUGUUGAAGCCUCUGCAACCACACAGAGACAGAAAGCUGCAGGGUCUCAGUAUAAAACUACAGACCGAGUGGAAUCAGUAGUGCAGAAAGAAUGAGUGUCCUCGAGUAGAUUGUCUACAGACAGACACUGGAGUGCAAAAUGUUCUUCUGCCCUUUCUAUGGUGUCUCACUGGGCUACAUUUUCCUGAUAUGCUGGCAACGCUGGGUUAGGUGAUCAUCUAUCUGAUGUGAAAUUCUUCUGCAAAUCCCACACCCUUCAAGACAUCUUCCCAUUCUAUGUAUACUGGACAAUAAGUCUUGAUUUCUGUCUCUAUUAGUUGUGGGGUUUUUUCCCAGUAUAUCCAAACAAAGUUUUCUAAUUCCAGCUAAAUAAAAUGGGAAAUAAGGGCAGAAAACAAAAACAAAAAAUUUUAAUUCAUCUCUAAGAGUAAGGUAAAUGUGCAUUAUACUAUGUGUGGGGAUUCAGUUGUUAUCAGUACAAAUUUUGCCAAUGACUCAGAUCAUUAUCCAAGAGAAUAAAACUGUUAGGAGUUAUAAAAGAAUGUCAAGAUCUUUUAAGUUAAUGUUUUUCCUGAAUGAGAUACGUUAAUCACUAAUCUGUAUAAAAUUUGAAUGAUUGCAUAUUUUAAAUUUUAAUUAUUAUGUAUUUUUAGUGAGUGUUAGAAAGAUGUAACUAGUGCACAGAACCUGAUUUUUCCCCGGCAGUUUUAGUUAGGAUGAAGCAAAAGUAGGUGGACGCUGAGACUGGUAACCUCUCUAUUUUCCUUGCCUUUCCCUAGCCCGUAAGUCAUGUUCAUAUACUUCAUAUAUGACUGGUUUUCCUGAAGAAGCUCAGUGUGAAAGACUAUAUUCUGUAUGAUUUCAUUUAUCUAAAAUUUGAGAAAAGGCAAAACUACUGUGUGAGGAAAUCAGUGAUCACCAGAGGCUGAGUUUAGGGGAAGCAGAUUGACUGGAAAUGGGUAUGAGGAAAUGUUUUGGGGUGAUGGAAAUGUAAUUAUACAAGCAUAAACGUAUGUCAACGUUCAUUGAAUUCUGUAGUCAAAAUUAGGAAUUACAUAUGAGUGAUGUAUAAAUUGUAUCUCAAUAAAACUGAACUAAAAAGACCUUUCUUCUUGAAAUGAUUUUAAAUUUUCCACCUCCUCCCACCUUGUUUUCUUAUAUUUCCAUUUGCACUUUUUAUUGUUUCCAUUUUACUUCAC
ensembl:lncRNA